ACACACACUGCUGUAGGUUACACACACACACACACACACACACACGCCAAGUCAACUGUAGUUUCAAUCCUUCAGUUUUCUGUGUACUAAUGACUGUUUUCACUUUAAGUUGGAGGCUCCAGACUUCUCCCUGGCGGAGGAGACCAUCAGAGACAUGGAGGAGUAUGGACAGAUGUGGUCUCUGUAUGAGGACUGGCAGGAGGGCUUCCAGGAGAAGGCCAAUGAGGACUAGAUCACAUUCAGGAGUAAGACCUAUGUGUUUGAGGAGUUCCUGUUUACGUGACAGGAAAGAAUGAGGAAGCUUGAGCAGCACACCAGUUUGUCUGUCAAAGUACAGGGAGAAGUUGACAAGGUGAGCCUGUGGGAGGUGCGUCUGUCUGAUCUAGAUGAGUACCUGGUCAGUCUGAAUGCCAUCCAGAGGCGCUGGGUCUACCUGGAGCCCGUGUUCGGACAGGGAGCUCUGCCCAGGGAACAAGCCCGUUUGAAAUAAAUCGACGAGGACUUCAGGCACACCUGUCCCUGUGUACGGUUCUCUUUUUUCUGGUCCAUUGUCCGUGUGUGUGUGUGUGUGUGUGUGUGUGUGUGUGUGUGAGCGUGUGUGUGUGUGUGUGA